rnacentral:rRNA from 1 species
UGGGGAAUAUUGCGCAAUGGGCGAAAGCCUGACGCAGCAACGCCGCGUGAGUGAUGAAGGCCUUCGGGUCGUAAAGCUCUGUCGGAGGGAACGAAUGCUCUUGGAGUUAACAGCUUCAGGAGGUGACGGUACCCUCAAAGGAAGCACCGGCUAACUCUGUGCCAGCAGCCGCGGUAAUACAGAGGGUGCAAGCGUUGUUCGGAUUUACUGGGCGUAAAGGGCGCGUAGGCGGCAUGACAAGUCACUUGUGAAAUCUCUGGGCUUAACCCAGAACGGCCAAGUGAUACUGUCGCGCUAGAGUGCAGAAGGGGCAAUCGGAAUUCUUGGUGUAGCGGUGAAAUGCGUAGAUAUCAAGAGGAACACCUGAGGUGAAGACGGGUUGCUGGGCUGACACUGACGCUGAGGCGCGAAAGCCAGGGGAGCAAACGGGAUUAGAUACCCCUGUAGUCCCUGAGCGGGCUGGCAAGGCGCAU